rnacentral:lncRNA from 1 species
AAAUAAACAGAGCAUUAUGACAGAGAAUGAUGGAAGAACCUUCAUUUCCUGGAAUGUUCCGCAGGAGAGGGAAUGAGUCAGGUGAAGAGCUCGGGGAAGUGCAUUCCAGGACGUGGGAAGGGCAAGGACAAAGGCCCUAUGUUGGGAAGAACUUGGCUUCCUUGAGAAACAGAAACAAAUCAGGUCUAAGCUGGAACACAGGGAGCCACUGCGAGAGGGGUAAAUAAGCUCUAAGAAGCAGGAAGGCCGUGUGCGGUGGUGCUGGAGCCCUUCAGAGUCUGCUGAUGUUAAGAACUCCAGUUUAAUUUCAUAUUCAACCUGUUGGCCUACCUUCUCUUCACUACCCCACUUCACUAGAUACAUUUCUACAUCAUAUCUGUUACCGCUCCAUUAUAUGCAGUUCCUAAUCUCUUGCAUUUAAUAACCUUCACCACUCUUUCCAAAAGGAUUAAUGCUUCAUACCAACUUUUAUCUUUCUGUGAAUUAGCAAUAACCAAUUUCCUGAGACCGAUGUGAAUUCAAUCCAGGAAAUUAAAUAGCCAAAAUGAAAAUGAACGUCUAUAUUCCAACUGUCCACAGAGAAAUCUGAAUUUAAGCUUGGGCCGACCACAGUCAGCUUUGCUGUAACGCAACACGUGCGUUCCUGGAAUUCCCUGCUCUGCGCAAAAUCACACAAUAAAACCACAGAGCUUAUGGGAAUAAUGAGACUAGGGGAACACCACCCAAAAACGUCAUCAGUGAUACAUUAGAAAAAAUCUAAGAACCUAAUAAAAACAGUAGCACAGUUUUAAACAUGCUAAAUGGUCAGGAAAUAUAUAAAUACCCCAAUAAAUGUGGCAGGAUACCUCGAAAAAGAUUUGAGGGAUGCCUGUGGGAGUGGGCGUGGGAAAGGCUGCAGUUUUUGGGUUGUUGUUAAGUCGGGAGAGGAGAGUGAUUUGAAGUUGCAUGGAAAGUUGUAACUCCAGAUGUGGGCCAGUGUGACUCCGUGACUCCAAACACGUGUUGAAGUGAGAUAGCUGGUAGAUGUUUGAGGGAUGUGUGUCUUGUGUAUUCCUAUGCAGCACAGUUCAGUUGGGUGCAGUUUUCUGUGUUCAUCUAAUGUUCCUUGAGGACGAAAGUGCAUACAGCAAAUGUGAAAAGUGCUUUAUUCUCAAAUUAUUCCCUUACUAUAGCAAUUGCAUUAGAACAAAUACGCAUUUUCAAAACAAGUGUUACAGCUGAACUGUGUUUGCUAACCUGGCAC